UACGUAGGGACCGAGCGUUGUCCGGGAUUCAUUGGGCGUAAAGAGCUCGUAGGCGGCCACUCAAGUCGAAUGUGAAAUCUCGAGGCUCAACCUCGAGCCUGCAUUCGAUACUGGGCGGCUAGAGUCUGGUAGGGGGAUCUGGAAUUCCUGGUGUAGCGGUGAAAUGCGCAGAUAUCGGGAGGAACACCAAUUGCGAAGGCAGCUCGCUGGGACGUCACUGACGCCUGAGACGCGAAAGCGUGGGGAGCAACA
rnacentral:rRNA from 1 species